rfam:Gossypium hirsutum cultivar TM-1 chromosome 16, whole genome shotgun sequence
UGUUAAAAAUUUCAUCUAUUUGUAUUACUAAAAAUUGGUAUGUCUAAUGGAAUAACCAGACAAUGACAUGUAGUGUGCCACGUGUACAUCAUACUAACGUACAAGACCAAUUUUUAAUAGUAAAAAUGAAUAUAAUUUUGAAGA